UAUUGGACAAUGGGCGAAAGCCUGAUCCAGCAAUGCCGCGUGAGUGAUGAAGGCCUUAGGGUUGUAAAGCUCUUUUACCCGGGAUGAUAAUGACAGUACCGGGAGAAUAAGCCCCGGCUAACUCCGUGCUAGCAGCCGCGGUAAUACGGAGGGGGCUAGCGUUGUUCGGAAUUACUGGGCGUAAAGCGCACGUAGGCGGCUUUGUAAGUUAGAGGUGAAAGCCCGGAGCUCAACUCCGGAAUUGCCUUUAAGACUGCAUCGCUCGAAUCAUGGAGAGGUGAGUGGAAUUCCGAGUGUAGAGGUGAAAUUCGUAGAUAUUCGGAAGAACACCAGUGGCGAAGGCGACUCACUGGACAUGUAUUGACGCUGAGGUGCGAAAGCGUGGGGAGCAAACAGG
rnacentral:rRNA from 1 species